UCUGUCAUUCUUUAUACGCGCUUGGUUCUCUUUCUCUCUCCCCCCAUUCCUACCCAUGUGAUCCCGAACUCGAGGCCCACGAAUUACGUGGCCUGCUGGACGGGUCAAGUGGUGCCCAACGUGGGGCAGCUCGAGGAUCAGUGGUCACUGGACAGCCCCCAAUUGAAGAAAAAAGCGUUCCGGAACGUGCUUUGGUAGAGAUGUCCUGCAUCGCUCGUGCGGCGUCUUGAGAGUAUUUUUAGAGUCUGGCUGUUGGAAAGACGUCAUCUCUCCCUAAGUGGCCUCAAUAACCGCUGUGGUUCGAGCAGUUUCUACAUCCUGUUGCUAAAUGUUCCAGAUUAUCCAGCUCCACAGGCUCCACUGUGUACUCACGAGCGGAGCCAUCUCCCUGUCCCCUCCUCUCUUAUUUUGAGAUAUGGUGUCACGUAGCCCAGGACCUGAACUCACUAGCAAGCUAAGGCUGGCCCUGAACUUCUGAUCCUCCUGCCUCUACUUGUGGUUGAACCCAGAGCUUCACGAACGCUAGGCCUGGCAGAUGUGCCCUAAUUCCCAGACUGAUGGAGUGCCUGUGGAAUUGUUCGAUUUUACACAUGCUCAUACUUGGCUGGAGCCCACCACAGUCACGUAGCUGUUUGGCCUGAAGUGGGAGAGAGGUUGGGGAGAAACACAGCUCUGCCAGUGCACCGGAGUCUUCUCGGUACCUGGAAGUCGACAGACACCACUACUCCCUACUCCUGAUCAGACAAAAGAUAAAAUAGAAGUGAAAGAGCCUGGGGCUGGAGACAUGGCUUGGCUGUUAAAGUACCCGCCAUUCUUCAAGAGGAUCCGAGUUCAGUUCUCAGGACCCACAUGGGAGUUCACAACUAUCCUUAACUCCAGUUCCAAAGGACCUGAUGCCCUUGGCUGGCCUCCGCUGAUACUGUGUGUGUGUGUGUGUGUG